rnacentral:lncRNA from 1 species
AACAACCCUAGUUUGAUGAUGAAAGAAGUUGGUUGAUCUUUAUGUGAACGUGGGAGGAUCACCGUGGUAUCAAGGAUAUCGAGUUGUUGGAUAUUUGUGGUGUUAUGCGAGAAUCACGGGUAAAGGUCAAGCUCGUUGUGGUCAUGUAAUGAUUACUACGGUAUUGUUAUACCAAGCUUGAUUUGAUCCUGAGAUGAUUGUGUGAUGUCCGUGGUGGUAAGUAAUGCAUGUUGUGGUUACGAGGUAACCCGAGCAGAGUAAGCUGGUGCAUGACGAUGUUAACCUGUUGCAUGUACUAUCAUCAUGUUCAUAUGAUCGUGCCAUGCUAAAAUUGUUUCAUGUUUAGUUAUGCAUGCCAUAUUGUUCUGCUAGUAUCAUGUUCAUGAUUAAUUUAACCUGCUAAUUCCAUGUUGUUGUUUGUCUUGACUGCUUUUGGCUAUUGUGAGCUUGCAAGUACAUUCAAUGUACUGACCUAGUGUGUCAUGCCAGUUUGCAGGUCAUUCCUGGAUUUCUUGCUUCUUUGGUGUGGUUCCUGUGUUCACAAGCUAGGAUAAACGUUUCGGCCAUAGUCCCUACGGAUUGGAGUCCAUCAUUGUCGUUCGUUGUUCUGUUGCCAAUAGUUGUUCCGCUGCCAGUAGAGGUUCCGCUGCCUCGAGUUGUUAUGCUGCUUGCAUAGAGCAAUUGUGGUUGGUGUAGUGUUGCCGUGCUGGUAUUAUUCCUUGUAAUAUCGGAUACCUUGUAUUCGUAUUCAGGUUGUAAUAGAAAGUUGGUUUGUUCUAUGCUAAGAAGUGUCGUCUUCUAGAAGACUUCACCUCGAUCUCUGGGCUAGAAUACGGGGCGUUCCGGUUUCUCUGAGCCGGGGUGCCACAAUAAACUCAAAGUUCAUCGGAUCCAAACAAACACACCGCAAGAAGAGUUACAUCAAAUCGAUCUCCAAGAGGUCAUUGUAUUGAGAAUCAAAAGAAAGAGAGGAAGCCAUCUAACUACUGCCUACGGACCCGUAGGUCUAUGGUGGACUACUCACACAUUAUCGGAGAGGCACCAAUGAGGAUUAUGGACCCCUCCAUGAUGGUGUUAGAUUGGAUCUCAUGGUUCUGGAACUUCCAUCGGCUGGAAUUAUGUUUCGUCCACUCCCUAGGGUUUCUAGAAUAUUUGGGAAUUUAUAGGGUGAAGAGGUGGUGCAGGGGGGCACUGACAAGUCAUGAAUGGGGUUGACAUGAUGGCUUCUGAUUACUCUGUCAUCUGAAGUUCCAAAAUGAAAUUCAACUCUUUUGGGGCCUUUUCCAUUCUGGCACAGCCGCGGUGCUGAUCAACAAACCAUUCAUUUUUGCAAAAUAAGUGCAGGGCAAACCUCAUUACCUUCAGCACCCUUACUCUGAAAACAAAGAACCUGGCGAAUAUAAUCUCCGGUAAGAUCAAUCGGUAUGAGUUCAGAGUAAUUUCUGACAGAUGCAGAUCUACGCACUCAGUGUGAUUGUUAUACUCUAACACAUUAUCCACCACCGGGCCUAAUAUUAUCUGCAAAAGAAGAGGAUGUGUUAGUGCCUACAUGCAGUUUUCAACACUACUACAUGCCUAUUUGGUUUGCGGGAUUUGUAAAAUGCACAAACGUGCCAUGCUCGAUCCGACAAGACUAACAUGGGCAUUUGAUUACAAUCUAGAAAAAGGUAGCCUUCUUCAAAAGACGUUGGAGUGGAUGAAAAAUUCCCUAAGAAAACUAGUACAUAUGAACCCAAGGAGAAAUGCCUAUGGAUUGUAACAAUAUGAAUCAAGCAACAAAUAUGGGGGGAUCGUAGUACAUUUUCAUUAUAAACUUGGGAAAAGGUGCUAAAAAUUGAACCCCCUUAUGGUUAACAAUUAACAGGAAAGGAACAUCACUUGAUAUACAGCCUCUCCAGACACAAAAAGCAUCUCAGGAAACUGACAACUUGGUGCAGGUUGGGGACAAUAGAUUCUAGUGCCAAGACCUUCACUGUGUGCAGAUUCGGGGUCAAGCUUGUCGGAAUCAUUUUCUGGAUGACAGACCAACAUACAUUUUCAAAAUUAGAAAUAAUGUUGAUAUUAAGGAGAGAUAGAAGGCGACUGUUGUACCUAAAAGGGUGUGGAUCCAAUAACAAGUUCAGAGUAUUUGACAGACGAGUAGCCCACCACUAUCAAUUUUGGCGCAGAAAUGACAUUGAUUCUUGUUGGACCUUGUUGAUCAAAUACAAGUAAUCUCUCAAGUGAAGGUGUGUCCUCAAUGACCAUAUUGUGGUGCACCUUUUGUGAUCUCUUAUUGCAGCACCAGCAACACACAUAAAUAGUCCAUAGAGUCAUAGGGGUGAUGUGGAAGCUAGUCAACCCAUUGAUCGCCUGAAGACGAAGGUACUCGAGUGCAGUACAGCCACGGAGCAGGCGCUCCAUGUCAUCCUUUGGGAUGCAGACGCAAGGAGCUCGAGUUGCUUCGGUCGUGGUAGAAAAAGAGUGAAUGCGUCAUUAAGGGGGGAUGGAAGUUCAUGAACUUGGCGAAGCAUAGCGUGGGCGCGAGCCAGGGCGGGACAUUGGUAGUGAGCGCAUAUGCGCAUCAUUAAAACUGAGCUCCUCGAGCUGAUCUAGGGUGGGGGAUCAGAACCACUCAUCAAGAUUGGCUCGGUCCUUGCCAUUGGAAUGGAACUUGCCCGUGAUAAGACCUCUGAUUGGGUGAAGGUGACCGGUGAGGAUCUGGGAGAACGCAUCCAAGCUUUUGUGAUAGCCAUGGAAGAGCUCAUGUGCGUCGAUGAGGUCCAGAUGGGUGGAGUGGCAUAGGGGCCGCCACUGUUGGGAAAGGACGGUUGUCCUCGCCCCAUAUUUGAUCGGGAGGAGGGAGAUGAUGACUAUCAACAUAUCAUCGAGGAGGCUGCUGAUGAAGUCUAGGCCUGCAAGAGUCACUUGCGGUUCUUUCUCAACCCACCUCUGCUUGUUGGCAGCCUCGUUCUCCACCUUUGGAGUUUCCUUGUCAGCGGCGCUUUCUGAUAGAAGUGGGAGUAUGCCAACAUUUAGUUAAGACAGGGCAAAAUAAAAGUGUAUUGGUAACUAGAAGUUAGUAUGUAGGAAUAUAGUAAGAAAACGGAAAAACAAUUUGUUGCCUAAAUACUACAGAAUUCCUUUUAUAUUGUUGGGUAAGUCGACAUGCAGAUACUUGAAAAGAACACUUACUUUGAUCAAAGUCUGGAUGGAUGAUAUCAUUGGGGAAAUUAGCAUAUAUCUCAUGACCAUGCUCUUUUAUGUGUAAUGCAAUUUUAGUGCCAGCUUUCGGUACAUAAAACUUAGAAAUUUCCGUCCAAAGGCCCGUGCCAAAAUAGGAGUCACCACGUUCAUCAAGUCUUACAGUAGCAACGAUUGUAAAUCCAUGGUUUGUGUAUAGUAUGACAUCCUUGCAGUCUUGAGUUAUCUAAAGGGCAAGGUUGUGUACUACAUAUGCUACAGAAAAUGGUAGUAUUGUUAAAGAAUAUGGUAAAAUGCAAAUAUGGGCGAAAUUGAAAGAACAAUACAGCAGUUGAAAUCAAAGGACAAAAAACUAUAAUUAAACAGAUAGUGUAACCAUGAUGUCAUGGGAAUAUGAGAGUAAUCAAAAGAACAAUACAUCAUUAAUUUGCCUAAUAUAUAAACAAGAGGAAAAGAAAUCCACUUUGACGUAUAUGCUGCAUAUAGCACCUUUUAUCCUGAUGUAGCAAUAUAUAGUAUAUGUUCAGGAAAGUAGGCCAUGCCAACCGAUGUAGGUGAGAUUGAACAUAUCAUGCGCAUCCUGAAGUCAUCUGGUAUGGUAAGAUGGAACACCACGGGUGCCUGGCCGAGGACGCAAAGUCUUGAUGUGUCCGUGCACUACACAGUCUAUGAAUGAAAGAAAACCCUCAAAUCAGCUCGAAUAAAAAUGAAUUCACAGCGAUUUCGGCCAGGUGAUUAAAGGAGGCACAUGAACUGGGAUAAGAAAUGAGAGAACAUCUCAAUAAAUUAGUUACCUUGUUAUACAUGAGAAAAAACCCUCAAUACCAUGGAUUCCCCAAUUGGGCGGAGCUGGGUCAAUCGUGAGCAGCGUCGGGAAAGUCGAUGAUGUUAGGCAGUGGCAAGCGGAAGUGGCGAAAUGCGGAGGGGUUUGACGCAGCCUGACGGCAGCGACAUGCGUCAAUCUAAGUGGUUGCCGCGGUGAUACAUGGUGCCAUGCAGAGCCGUGGAGGAGCUUGUGCAGGUGAAAUGCGGAGGGGUUUGACGCAUCCUGGCGGCAGCGACAUGCGUUGAUCUAAGUGGUUGCCGCGGUGAUACGUGGUGCCAUGCAGAGUCGUGGAGGAGCUUGUGCAGGUGUGAAUGGGGACCGGAGGGGGUGGCUGGCGUGGUGAGGGUUUUUGUGACGUGGGGAUGGUGAGGGUUUUCUUUUUUUCUUUUUUUGAAUAGGCUGGUGAGCGUUUUUUGUCCCACAAGGAGUUUCAAAGGCAACGUUUUCCUAGAGCCAACCGUGUGUGAUUGACGUAACUGGGAAAGUGAAUGUCAUCGCACACAGUUGCAAUUUGGGAACCGUGUGUGAUUGACGUAAUACCUCUGUCCUGGUUUACAGGUCCCCUUUGUAAUUUGUGCCAAAUUUUGGCCAAAGAUUUAACUAAUAAAUGUUUAUGCAUGUCACCAAAAAUUAUAUCAUUGAACACUAUGUUCAAAUACGAAUCCAACGAUAUAAUUUUCGCUGACCCGCACUAAAAUUUUGUUAGUUAAAUCUUUGGUCAAAAUUUAACACAAAUUACAAAGGGGACAUAAUCUAGGACAGAGGUAGAUUCCAUCAACCGAACUGAUUGCAUCCAUAUCCCACAUUUAUACAUAAGUAAACAUAGAUUAAACAUACUCAGGCAUAGAUAAUAAGCGUACGCAAGCAAACUUUUGUGCUUAGUGUAGGUGCUUAGGUGCGUACGAUGUGGUAGAUGCAUUGGAACGAAGGGGCGCCUUUAUAUGAGUGCAAACUACGUUGCAUUCACAUCGUGCUACCUCUUUUCCCGGUCCUCCUCCCAUUACUUCCCUCAUGCAUUCACGAUGCUAAUUGAAGGAGCAUGCACCAUUGGUCAUUCAAUAAUUGGGAACCGCUACCCUCUCCCUCGUGUGCAUUAAAGCCGUAUAGGGAGCUGCGCCGCCUACUGUCAAAUCAAAUAGUACUGUGCUGCCCGCUGCACGACCGGCUGAACACGCCUCCUCGCCUCCAUCAAACGCCCCGGUUAAACCCGCAUGCAAACUGAGAAAUCUUGUAUUUUAAUUCCUCUGUGGGUUGCACUGCCAGUAUAGUGUGUACAUGACUUGCAGGCUGGCUGCAGAUUCGUACAAAAAGUUAAAAGAUAAAAAUCCAUCCUUAAUAUUUUAUUCUAAGUACUCUGUGGGUUCCACUCUCAGUACACUAGCGAAAGAAGUAUAUAUUUAAAAAACAUAAAAAAUAAACUUUAGGCAAUAAUUCGAACUCAGGUCAUCGCAUUGCGAGCAUCCAGCCCGGACAAGUACAACAGAUGUUCAUUGUGACGAUGCAAGAGAAAUAUCACUAUAGCAAUGAGCCCAUCUGUUGCAACAGAUCCAAAGUAGAAUAAUACAUAUUCACAAAUUUGAAAGAAAACAGUUUAGCUUUGAUAUACAUAUCACUAAAAAUAUCUUAUGUUUCACUCAAAAUAUAUUCUUUGGGCUGUUUUGAUGAGGUAAGGGAGGAAUGUGGUUGGUUUCAAGAUACUAAGGGGUUUUGUGUAAACUAGAGCAGAGAAGUGGGAAUUGUUGUAAAAAUGCCACAACUUACAUCACUGCCAUUAGAUGCAGAUCUAAUGGUCAGAAACGGCGGAUUGCAGACACACCAUCAUCACAAACUGAGUCUUUUAUAGGAGUACAGAUUACUUCAUCCCUCCAACUUAACUGCGGGAAAGGUGCGGCUUUGUGAUUUGACGCCUCAUUGCUCAUUACUACACCGGCGCCAUGACUGGGGUGCUUCACCCCUGCUACUCUGCACUGUUAUAUCGGUAUGUCAUGUGGACCCGGUUGCUUGAUGUCCCAAUGUCGACGAAAGGGACUAGAACAUUUAUGAAAGCGAGCACUCCACUCUUACGACGGAGGAGUACACGACACAGCUGCCUAGUGAACUGUUACUUGUACUGUAGUACUACUAUAGUUUUGCUGUUUCGCACGAUCCAUCGAUGAAUCCUGAUUAAACCGGCAAGGGAGGGAUUUUUCCCGCGCGGUAGAUGAUACUAGCCAUACAUUUCAAAGGAAAAUUUAAUGUAUGAAAACUGAAUAAUUAAGUAACAAUAUGAGAUCUAGUAAAACUAAAAACACAUAUGAUUUAUUGUGUUAGAGUGUAGUAGUAGGGUUGUAUUGCGUUGUUGUUAGAUGUAACAUGCGAGAACGUGUAGAGAUGUACCUUUGGAGGGCCUACAGAGACAAAUUGGGCAUAAAGUGGAUUCAAAUAUUUGUAUUCGUCUUCAUAGCAUUUGUAACUCAUACCUACAGUUUGUACAGUAGACGUGAAUCCUUGUUCGCUCUUACGAAACCAAUACAACAAUAAUGGGGUGGCAUGCGCCAAUUUAGGCACUGGCACGUUGGCCUACUCGCAUCCACAGAGAGAGCGAGAGAAGAGAUAAAUACAUGGGCGGUCAGUGUAUUUCAAGCGAAAAACGUAAUACGGUCACCCGACUUCAAAAUACGCUCAUUACGGUUACUAUAUACGUUUUGCGGUGAUUAUACGGUCACUUGCUCACCGUUCAGCAUCCGAUUGCACUCUGUUGACCGGCCAAAUAGUCUGUGUGGCACUAUGUUGACUAAUUAAAUUGACCAUGUUCCUUGUGGGUCCCACCUAUCAGUUCGCAUAGGAAAAUGGUCAGAUAAACACAAAUUUACGCCGUCACGACAAGACUCUAACCCGUGCGCGGGAACCACCUGGUUGUGUAUGUGUCUGUCAAUGCCUGAUAUGUGCGCAUGCACAUGUAGGUUGAGCGCUUGAGAGUGAGAGUGUGUGUUGGUCAUGUGGUGUGUGCAUGCAUGCAUGCGUGCGUCUUUGCAUGUGAGUGUUGCAUGCGUGCGUGGCUAUGUGUGUACGUGUGAGUGUUGCGUGUGUGCGUGGCUGCGUGUGUUCAAACACACGGCUCAACAUACCAAUACAAGGCCACCUUGUCCGCUGUGCCCGCCGUCAUGACUUUGAAAAAAAUUCCAAUAUUUUUUUAUCGUUUGUUUUCAUUCUUAUACACGCUGACAGGUGGGCCCAAUAGUAGUGAGCUAAUCUAAUGCAACACUAGAGGUUCCACGUCGAGCGUUUAACUAGUCAACUAGCUGUGUCUUCAGCAAAUACAGAGCUAUACGGUGAGCCCUGACUGUACAAUAACUAGAAAACGUAAAUGGUGACCAUAAAGAGUGGAUUCUGAAGUCCAAUGUACGUAUCGUGCUUUCGCUUCAAAUACAAUGAUCGUCAUUGCAUAUAUCACAAGAGAAAGAUGAAACAUGUGUGAAUGUGCUCGGGGCGUACUUCUAGAGGACUUGGAGAUAGUUUGUGUGCGUACGUGAAAGGGGCGUAGAGGGGGUGUAUGCGAUGGAGAGAUAGAUGCUCUUUGUUUCUCUUUAUUAUGAAUAACUUUGUAUAUAGUAUAAAAAUAUAAAAAUUCACAGUGCAAAAUAAAUAUCAUUGGGGGAACCAUGCAAUGCAAAUUAACGUUCAUACUCCUCCAUAUAACUUUGUAUGUUGUAUAUAUGUAGAAAUUCUAAAAUAAUAUUUUGGCCACACUUUGUGUGGUUUUAUUCAAAAUGAAUGUUGUAUGUCAAAUAAACGUGAAGAGAGGGCUUUUUAGAUCAAUGGGGAACGUCAUGUAACAUGUGUGAAUGUGUAGUUGAUGUAUUUGGCAGGGCCUAGAGAGGUAUGUGUAUGUAUUACGUAUUCGAGAGAGGAAUGGAUAGAGGGGCCGGCGGCGCGGGGGGGCGUGGGAGAGAUAGCACGAGAAAUGAGAGGUCUAGACAGAGAGAGAGAGACGAAUAGGAUGUCACGGCAAGAGAUGCCCUCGAGUGUGUAUAUGCAAGGGGGAGGGGAUGGAGGCACGGGGAGAAAAUAUUUUGUGUGGUGUGGGUGUUGGUAUGUGUGGGUGUGAGAAGAUAACGAGAUCUGGGGGCUUAGGGUGUGUCACCGCGUGAGGCACAGUGGGCCGAGGUGAGGCCCUUGGCUCGGUUUCGUCCUGCGCCACAUUGGUCAGCCCGUGACGCAUUAAGGGAGACCCAUGGAGGACUAGUCGUACAAGACAAAGAUAGCAGAGUCGUGAAGGACUCUGUGUUCACUGACAAAGCCGGGUAGGAUUUGUAACCCUAGGUCCUUGGACUAAGGUAACCCCUUAUCCCUGAUAUUACUAUUCAUCCGACCUAACUUGAAGGGGCAUCCUAAAGAAUGCUCUCCUAGAAUCAUACUCGUCAAUUAGGAAGAGAGGUGGAGACAAUGCGUGAGAGACAGGCCUAAAGAUAAUGUGUGUGUGGGAGACACGUAGGCAGGUCUAUAUAUAUAGAAAGGGUCGAUGGGGAUUGUGCAUGUGUAUGCUUGUGAGAGGAAAAGUGCUUGUGAUAAAGGAUAGUGAAAAUGGACGUAAAUUGUUACAAGAGUGAGGGGGGCUUAUAUCGAGAGCAUGUGUGCGAGAAAGACAGCUCGGGAGAGAGUGUGUGAGAGACCACCAAUGGAUAUACACCGUGUGCACAUAUGUGUGAGAGAGAAAGUCAGCGUGUAUGUGAGGAGGGGCCUAUGGAGAGUGAAACUACAUAUAAAAGACUGAUGUACACAUUGAUUAAAAAUAUAAAUUGUAUCCAAAUAUUAGGAUGGGAUCAUGAUAUCUGCAAUUCGCGUGAGGAACGGUCAUGGAUCCAUCAGACAUCUAUAUUCUAUCGAAUUUGAGCAUGUCUAUGUUCUUAUUCGACACAAUUGAUCUACAGAGUUAGUAUUUUGAACUCCAGAUAAUGCAUAGCUUUAGCAAUCGAAUAUAAACGUGAGUAUAGUUCAUGUUAUGUGUGUAAAGCACAUUAUACAUACAAAAGUUAUCCAAUGAACAUUAUAAAUAUCUAGCUAUGAACUAGCAUACAUUUGAAUUCAACUUAAGGUGGUUUAAAAAAAUCGAAUUCAACACGAAGUCCAUUCAAUUAUUUGAAUUCGAUAUCAUGUCAUUUGUAAAUCAUACCUCAAUUAUGGGGGCACCAAUCUCUGCUCUGCUUUUGUACAUAAUAGCAUAUAUAGUCGUGUACACAAUAGAUUCAAAUUUACCUCCUUCAUUCCAAAAUAAUCGUAUUUAUAGGAUUUUCAAGUGUCAAAACUUAAAAAAGAAGCGCAUAAUUUAAUGAGAUUUUCAAACAUACAAGGUCAAAUUUAACUUUGUCUAUUUAGGUCAAUCCUCAAAGUUCAAAAGUACUCCCUCCGUUUUUAUUUAGUCCGCGUAUUAGCUUUGGUAAAAGUCAAGCUUUAUAAACUUUGACCAGGUUUAUAAAAAAUAUAUGAACAUAAGCAAUAACUAAUCAAUAAAAUUAGAUUUAUUAUUGAAUGUACUUUCACAUCAUAUAGAUUUGUUAUGAUAAAUUUUUAUACUAUUUUUAAACUUUGUCAAACUUUAUGAAAUUUGACUUGAGUCAACUCUAAUAUGCAGAGUAAAUAAUAAUGGAGGGAGUACUCUAAACAUGAAUGAUUCUGUUUCAAAAUUUCAAACGAAGUGCCAAAAGAGCCUCUACUCGCCCGAAACCACGUGAGACCAAUGUUUGGUAGAAGGAAAUUACUUUUCUAACUCCGACCCGUGAAACCUACCGGCCCGACGUCCAAAGGUCUAAACCGGGUAGGUUUGUAGCUUCAUCCAGAUGCCACACAACCGCCUCCGAAAAACAUUCAUACACAAUGGUCGCCUAAGCACACAUGUGUGUGGCCGAAAUCGCUCCUGCCCACUAUUUGGGACACCUGGGAUUACCAUCCUACCCCCGACCCAUAGUAGGUCCAAAAUUUAAGAGGGGGGCAAAGUUUAUACUUCCCCAAAUUUCAAACAAANNNNNNNNNNNNNNNNNNNNNNNNNNNNNNNNNNNNNNNNNNNNNNNNNNNNNNNNNNNNNNNNNNNNNNNNNNNNNNNNNNNNNNNNNNNNNNNNNNNNNNNNNNNNNNNNNNNNNNNNNNNNNNNNNNNNNNNNNNNNNNNNNNNNNNNNNNNNNNNNNNNNNNNNNNNNNNNNNNNNNNNNNNNNNNNNNNNNNNNNNNNNNNNNNNNNNNNNNNNNNNNNNNNNNNNNNNNNNNNNNNNNNNNNNNNNNNNNNNNNNNNNNNNNNNNNNNNNNNNNNNNNNNNNNNNNNNNNNNNNNNNNNNNNNNNNNNNNNNNNNNNNNNNNNNNNNNNNNNNNNNNNNNNNNNNNNNNNNNNNNNNNNNNNNNNNNNNNNNNNNNNNNNNNNNNNNNNNNNNNNNNNNNNNNNNNNNNNNNNNNNNNAAAUUACCUCUCCAGCAGCUGCAAAACCCCGGCAUCCUCUAUCCGCCAUCCCAUCCCACCCAUCAACCGCCACCCUCCUCCAUCACGCUGGAGCCGAUACCCCGACAUCGUCGUCCACCGCAACUGCAACCGCAACGCCAUCCAUGGCUAGUAGUUGAUGCCGAGGCCGAGCUGCCUCCGGGACGCCGAUGUGCGCUGUUCCCGAGCUAGUUCAACCAUGCUGUCCUGUGCCUCACCACUGCCGCUCCAACUUUGCCACCGUCCACCACCAGAGUUGUUCCCGCUACGCCGUCCGUCAUCGCCUCGGAUCUGCUUCUCCUCCGUCGAUAGACGGCCACCACAACACAAUCAAUAAUUUGGUCAUGGGUUCAUCCAAGGCUCCACCCUCCUCCAAAACAACGGUUCCCCGGUAAAAACAAGAAAAUUGCCGCAACAUCUAGAGGACACAGCACUGGCAACCGGAAAUGGUACUCCUCUUCCCUUAUGCGUGCAAAUGUUACGUGUAUGCUUGCAUGGUAUUCAUCCCAUAGAAUACACUAGUUGACGGCUUCUUCCUGAUACUAGAUGUUCCUAGUAACUCACAAUGCACAAGAUUUCUCCUCGUAUACUAUUUCACCUUAGCUAGAGGUUCAUCGCCCCCCUGGAUUUCAAUUCCUGGUCAGUUGAUUCCCAAUUAAAGGAAGCAUUCCCAAGCUUGAUUCCCCGGCCAUCCUCCAUUACAAGGGGCUUAAUGUACAUAAAGUAGGGGUGUUACUGAUAACGCCAGCCUUAAGUGCUAUUAAUGGCCUUAAAGACUACGGAGUGAACGCUUGACCAUUGCAAUGUUGAGUGACUCCUGAUCUUCAGUAGGUCGAGUGAUUCCUUGUAUGGUCGAGUGACAACAAGUAGGAGGGGUGUCCGAGUGAUAUGAUUGGUCGAGUGGAUUGCACUCGACACCUUUGACUGGGGGUUCUUCAUUGCCUCUUGGACUUCUUAUCUUCUAGGGUAGUGACCUUGGGUAGGACAUAUAGGUCGGGCCUAUGAUCCUACCCCAGGUCUGUAUCCUCAUCAGCAACCAAGCGAGCACAUCCUUUACUUUUCUCGGGUCCACUGCUAUACCUUCGGCGGAUAGCACAUGUCCAAGAAAUCCAACUUUCUUGAGCCAAAAUUCACAUUUACUGAAUUUGGCGUAUAACUGAUGGUCGCGGAGUCGCUGUAACACUGCUCGGAGGUGUUCUUUGUGAUCUUCUUCACUUUUUGAGUAUAUAAGUAUAUCAUCGAUGAAGACUACCACGAACUUAUUGUGGAAGUCCAUGAAUACUUUCUUCAUCAUAUGCAUGAAGAAGGUAGGGGUGUUGGUGAGACCAAAGGACAUAACUGUAUAUUCAUAAAGACCAUAUCGAGUGGUGAAUGCGGUCUUAGGAAUAUCUUCCUUUUUAAUCUUGAGCUGAUGAUAUCCAGUCCAUAAAUCAAUCUUGGAGAAUGCCUUGGCCCCACUGAGCUGAUCAAACAAGUCAUCAAUCCUUGGCAGCGGAUAUUUGUUUUUGAUGGUGACAUCAUUCAGCUGACGCUAAUCCACACACAUGCGGAGGCUACCAUCCUUUUUGUCCACGAAGAUAGCAGGUGAUCUCCAUGGUGAAGAGGUGGAACGGAUAUAUCCUUUCUAGAGAAUUUCAUCAAGUUGUUUCUUUAGCUCCACUAAUUCUGAUGAGGGCAUCCGGUAAUACUUCUUGUAUAAUGGUGCGGUUCCGGGCACAAGAUCUGUUGCAAACUCAAGCUCUCCAUCUGGUGGCAUGCCUGACAGCUCUUCUGGAAAUACAUCAGGAAACUCACUGACCACAGGAAUUAAUUCCAAGUCAGCCACGGCGGCGAAGACCAUUUCUUUCUUGGGUAUACUUCUGCGAGCAUAGCAUUUGGUAGUCUGCCCCUUCUGACUGGUCAAAGUGAUUUCUCGGGUCGCACAAUUUAUGCAGACUUGAUAUUGGGUCAACCAAUUCAUACCCAAAAUAACAUCCAACUUAGGAGACUCAAUAAUUAUCAAAGAAGUUGGAAAGCAGACUCUGUUGAUAUUGAUUUCCAGAUUACGACAGACCAGCUCCUGAUUAAGGAUCCCGGGGUUUGUACCAGCAUAUUCUUGCCCAAAAGCGAACAAGGAAAUUUGUUUUGGGCAACAAAACUCCAAGAAAUAAAAGAGUGGGAAGCCCCAGAGUCAAAUAAAAUCACUGCAGGUAUGUUAUUAACAGAAAACAUACCAAUGACGACUUCGGGGUUCUCUUGGGCUUCAUCAGCGGAGAGGUGAUGAACGUGCCGACUGAUGUUUUGCUGGUUCGGGCAUGACUCCAUAAAAUUGACUUUUGGCCUGAAUAGAGCAUUCGCCUUGCUGUUCUUGGGACACUGUCUGGCAUAAUGUUCGGUUUGCCCACAACUGAAGAAAGAAUUGUUACGCUCGCGCUCCUCAUGCACUGGGUUGGUCAUGACGUUCUUGAAUUGAGUGGUGGUCUUGUUAACAUUCCGUUGCCAAUUGGGCUUGUAUUCCACCUGAGUCUGCUGCCAGGUACAAGCCUUUUGCACUGGUUGCCCUUCCUUUCUUGGCUCAAACUUGUGCUUGUGAUCUUUAUUAGCAGGCCUAUUAUCCGAUACAAGCUUGUGUUCCCUUUCAGCAAUGAAAGCCUUGUUCACCAGGGUUUGGAAAUCUCGGAAAUUAAACAUACUGAGAGUGCACCGGAGUUGCGGGUUUAAUCCACCAAGAAAUCUGUCAAUCUUUCUUUCUUCAGUGGCCACGUCAUAUAGGGAGUAACAUGACAGAUGAUUGAAUUUUUGCAAAUAUUCACCCACAGACUGAUUUCCUUGAAGGAGCGCGAGCAAUUCACGCUGCUUAGUCUUCAUAAUUCCAGUAGGCAUAUGAUAUUUCCGGAAAUGGUCCUUGAAUUUUGACCAGGUGAUUUCUUCAUCGGUAGGCCACAUGGCUUUUGCAUUUUCCCACCAUAUGGCAGCAGCGCCUUCAAGAUAAUGAGUUGCAAAUGAAACUUAUCAUCUUCUUCAGUACGAGCAAUCUCAAGUUUCCUCUCAAUAGUUCGCAACCAAUUGUCUGCAUCCAAGGGGUCAAUAACCUGACUGAAACUGGGAGGCUUGGUCCUUUGAAAAUCUGACAGCUUGGAGUGAUGACCGUUCUGAUUACCAUUCUGUCCAACCAUAGCUUGCACACUUCUUAAUAUUUCAAUCAUAUCAUUAUUCCAUCUUUCCUCAAACAUACGCAAAAUUUGCUCGGUGGAAGGCGGAUUUGGCGGUGGAGGCGGUGGUGGAACGUACGGCUCGGGGGAGUGUCCUGCCUGUCGUGCGGAACGACGAACAGGAGUACCCUCGCAAACGUUGCUACUGUUGCCUCCCCGCGUCAUCCUAUUGUGAUUUUUCCCAAGACAACGCAACCGAGAUGAGAAAUAUUCAAAAUCAAUUGGGGGAAAGCCAGCAUCAAAAGCAUGAGAAAAGCCGAAGUGACAAAGAAAAUACGGCGAAUAGAGUUCCAACAUAGUUAUACAUAGACUCAUACAUGAAAGAUAAACAACAUGCCAGGUUCAACUACUCUCAUACAUGAAACGAAACCUCAUGACUCGUACGACUACAUCCGUACAAAAUCCUGAUGACUGCGAAUACUCAGAAUCUCUACUGCUCUGUUGGUGCUGUGUGGUCCUCUCCUGAAGCGGACUCGGAUCCUGAACUGACGAGGUUAACUGAGACCUCUGGGUUAAAGGUAACACAAUGACGCUGCCUCGAGGGCUCUCCCUCAGGGGCAAGUGUAGGGUGAAGCAUCGGGGCUGCAGGAGUAGUGAGAAGUGAAACCCACUCAGCAGGAGCACUAAGAGGAUUCACGGUCGCGGUGCCCGAGCUACUCGGAGGAGUAACUGGUGAAACAGGGGAACUAGAACUGGCUGGAAUAUAAGGAGUAAAUCCCAGAGAGGAUGGAGCAGUGACAGAUCUAGUAGAGGAUAAAGCAGUACGAGCACGAGUCAGCUCUCGAGCUAGCUCGUGGAUCAUAAGAUAGCUAGCAGCGAUAUAACGAGAAAGGUGGCUAGCAACACUAUCAGACUCCGGAUCAGUGAUAGGGAAACGGAUACGACCAUUGUCGUGUAGAGAAGGAUAGUAGUAGAAAUCUGGGUGGUUCUGCAUCCGGAGCUCGUUGUAACGAAGCUCGACAAGGACCUCGAAUGCAGCAAACUGGACAGCCUGAGAAGCGGUAGAAGCGUAACCGCUCCGAGAGGUACGAGUGUAAGUGCUGGAAUCGGAACUGGUGCGCAGAGUAACCACUGCGUGAUACUCAUACACUGAGUCUGCUAGGCUGGGUCGUCAUCGAGGGGGUACAAUCGACGCCACACGUUACGAAGAAGAUGCGGCGACGUGUACGGCAGCAGCUGCAACUGGCACGGAUACGGCACCGGAGCCAUCUACACUCACAACCAUUAGUCGGUUAGCAUAAAAAAACAAGUGCAUGCAAUGCAACAACCAACUACAAAUGCUACCGGCACUCAACUAAAACUCGUAUCUGACGUCCAGUUAACACGUCGUAGUCUAGCGUGGCCUACAGUCAGCACGGCUCUGAUACCAAGCGUUGUGGCACCCCGGCUCAGAGCAACUGGUUUACCAUGCAUUGCCAGCCCAGAUACCAUGCCUUCUGGCAACACACAACAUCUUAGUACAGAAAACAACUGCUUUAUUGAUGCUAGCGGAUCAAAGUUUAUAUUACAACAGGUGGCGAGGCCAAGUGGCACACUUGGUGUGGCACAACAAUAUGUACAUUAUUUAGUGAACAUAAAGGGGCCUCGAUCAUAACAACUACGCGGCAGCGGAACAACGUCAUAGCGGAACUCCAUAGCACAGGGACCCUGAUGUGGACACGAUCUAGACUCGGACAAGACUCCUUUCCAAUGAGACUUUCCUAAAAUAUGGCAUGACACGCCAGGUCAGUAUAUUGAAUGUACUCGCAAGCUCACAACAAACAUAAACAUAAUGACAAACAAUAUCAUGAUAAUUAACCAGUUCAUAAUAAUGCAACAAGAUACCCAACAUGCUAUGAUUAUACUCUUGUGAUAAAAGUCCCUCCGACUGGCUUACCAAUGGUGAUCGCUCAUGGAUCACUAACGUACCAUCCUCAGGGUCUUAACUAUAGAUAUCUCGUGAUCUUUCCGGCGAUCACAACCACGACCAAAUUUUUUUUCUUAAACAAUGAUCCUUCCGGCGAUCACAACCACGACCAACACUUGGUCUAACACCAUAAGAUGACCUUUCCGCCAUCAUCAACAGUGUAACGUUCAUAACUUAGUGUGCAAGAUUUAUUUAAAUGUUGACCGAUGGUGUGACCUACUUUCGAGCGUGUCCGUAACCGUGGACUCGGCUAUCGAUAAAUUAAUACACGCUGCAGAGGUAGCGCACUAUACCCACACCACGGAACCCAUGGCCUUGUACUCCCAUUCGGGUGGACCAACGGCAUUCCGACGAAACCCCUCCAUUGCCAUGACACUCUCCCGGCCACUCUAACUCACUCCCCAUCGGGCUAGUCCUGGGUGGCCCCGUGUCUACCAAAGACACAACGACCACCGUCGUGCCCAAAACAUAAACGAUCCCACACCGGGACUCGGUACCAUCAACUCAACAACGGGCACACAAGGUUAUGUCUGCUUACCGGGCCAGGGUACCACACGCCCAUAACCUUCCCUCGUUGGAGGAACCGACUAGAGGCAUGACAAUGGACCGAAUAAAGGUCUUCCCAUAAAGGCAAGUGUCGUUGCACUGGGAAAGACUCGUUUCAGUGGCACCAUGACCCGGUCAACGAUAUAUUCAAGUUGAUUUAUUAUCAGGUUCAACUUAAAGUGAAAAUAACCAGUGUCAUAAUGCCAUGACAUGCAACACUAACAUAUGCAUCACAUAUCAAUGGAAAUUACUGAGUCAACUAUAUCCACACUAAGCAUAACAUCAACAACUCAUGACACUUCUCUGGUUAAGAUUAAAACACACUUUAAACAUAAUCUUUUCUAGCAAUCUUUACCCUUUUCACUCAUGCAAGAAAAUAACUGCACUAAUUAUUUAUAUCCAUAAUCAUAUUAUUCUUUCAUCACAAAAAAAUAAAGCCUAGUUUGUUUACCAACUAAGUUAACUUCAAACUUUCUGUAAAUCAAGCAUAUUAACUAAAACAAGCAGUUAACAGAAUAUAAAUAACAUAAUAAUGAAUUAAAUGCAUGGAUUAAAUAAUUUGUUCAAGUAAGAAAAUCACAAAUAUAGUAAUGGCACCAUGAAAAUGUUGUUGUGGCUUGCCUUAGUGCAGAUGAGGUUCACAAGCCUCCUGGUGAUCCUCAAGACAAGCCUCACCCUCUGAAAAUAUUUAAAAACACAAAAAGAAAUCAUCAAGAACCCUUCUGAAAUUCACCAGAAAAUCUAGACAGCAGGGAAAAUCCCAUCUUUGGUGAGUUGCUAGAUUUCUGUACAAAGAACACAAUGCAAAAAGAAUCAAUUCAUUGGACUUAUGGUUAAAGAGUUUUGGCUGUUUGAAGCUCUCUGGAUAAAUUAAAAUUUGAAUUUAAAUAAAUAUAGACUGGGGGUGACGUCGAAGGCGUAAAGCAUCGGGGCGCCACCACUCGUACCGCUUCACGCGUGUACUGAGUGGCUGACUAGCGGGCCCCACUAGUCAGGUGAGGGGGAGAGAGAGAGGGAAACAGAGGACGGCGCGGCUUCGCUGGAGCGCACGCCCGCGGCGAGGGCUCCUUGGCCAAAAAGAGAGGGAGGGAUCGAGAGAGGAGACGGAGGCGCACCUGCCCGUACCCAUUGAGUAGCUAGGGGUGGUCGGACGGUGUCAGAUUCAACCUCUCAAGCGAAGGCAGAGAGCGGAGGUCGCCGGAGACGAAGACGACAGCGAAUGGAGGCGACUCCACGGGCUCCAACCAGGCGGAACAGCACCACCGGAGAGUGGCGGAGGCCCUAGAAGGGUUGCCCAGGGCUGGAGCUACGGAGAUGACCCAAGGGGAUCGCCGGCGAGCUCGAGCUCAGGGACGGUGGCCCGUGGCCUGCCCGACCGGGCUACGGCUAUCUACGCGAUCGUGGAGUGUGCGGGAGUGGUGGAUGGUGCUUGAGGAGGCUGGGGAGGGCUCUAUUUAUAGUCGAGCGUCGAGGAGGGUUCGGGCUCCACCGUUGGACACCUAGACACAGCGCCCAGCGACGAACGGCGUCAGUGAGAGGGGGAGAAGGCGACGCAGCUCACGCAGGGACUAUGGCGAACGGGGACGAGCACAGGAGCGAGAGGAAGGCAACGAGCACAAUGCACACCACACUGUUACGUUGGCCGGACCGCACCCGUGCUCGCAGCGGCGAGCUCCAGCGUCGGCAAGCGCCACGAGGGAGUUAAGAAGGUCGAGACGAUGAUUGUGGCGCAGUUUGGCACGCUUACGCAGGCGGGGAAGCGAGCACGCGCGAAACAGAGGCUCGGGCGGCACUCGAAGCGCGUCGGUUGCAUGCCAGCACGCCUGGACGAACGCGGUCACCGCGUGAACUCUGACCUCAGGCUGACCUAAGCCCAAACUUCAUGUCUGGCUUGUUUUUCGUGGUAGUUUUCAAGGUUACCAUGCUUGGCUUUGGUCUCAGGUGCAGUAGAAAAGAUUUCACACGCCUGGUAAGUUUCUGGACAGUAACUUUGAGAGCUUACUAUGGUCAAACUACUGGGAGUUGGGAGCUGGGCUUUGGAGGUUAGCAAUCAUCUACUAAGGUGAUGAUCCACAAGAAAAAUCAGCCACAAUGGAGCAAGUAAAAUGGUAGUUACUGUAGAAACUGCCAUUUCUGUCCAGAACAGAAAAUAUUUUCUGUAGCAAAAAUAUUCCAAAAAGUACUGAAAUACUUUUGCUCAGGAAGGUGCCCUAGGGUUCAAAGAAUAAUUGGGAUUUUUCUCAGAUUUUUAUGGGCAAGAAAAAUUGGGGUUGCUUUGGAGCAUAUUGAGCUAGCUAGGGUUUAGGAGAGGGAAAUGAAUAUUUUUCAUUUAAGAAAAAUAUUCCAAAUAUUAUUUUAAGUUGAACCAGAGAGGGAAUGAUGGUUAGAGAGGGAAAUGGGACAAUUGGGUGAAAUCCAAGGGGUACCCAAGUGGUUAAGUCCAUAUGAAAAGAUUCAAACUCCAAAUUUGAAAUUCAAACCAACUGGAAAUUAGGUAAAGAAAAGAGGGCAAAAACCAGGCUGUCAUAGUGUCGUGCUAGCACUGCUCCUCAAGACCUCAAUCCAAAGCUUACGUGUUGAAAUACGAAUCUGAUAUGAUGCUCAGAUCACUAAAAUAGAGAAUGUUUAAUUGGUCACCUGAUGUUCCUAUAUUCAUUUCGAAAAGUAUGUGCGCCACCCACUGAUCCAGCUAGUUCCACUUUCCUGAUUUUACUCUUGAUGCUUAGGGUUUUCCCCUUUUAUCUACUCUACUAUGAUCUGCGUAGGUGCUUUAUGUCAUACUAGCAUUACUCCACCCUCAAGCUAAACAACACAACACUCAAAAUUCCAAAGCUUAGUUGUUCAAAUAUGAUUGUGAUAUGAUACUGAUAUUAGUUAACAGACACAUUUAAUUGGUUAGCUAAAGGUCCCACUUGAGUUUCCAAAUGCAUGUUGCGACAUAUAGAGAGACAGCAGAAUUGCAUUUCUUUGUCACUUGUUGACUGUACUUUCUUAUCCAUACCAAAUCUUUGUUGUUAUUUCAAAGCAAACAUCGGUUGCUAACUACCCUUUGCGCGGUUUGCAGCUUCAGAUCUGCCAUCCCAUUUCCACGGUCAACACUAUACUCAUCAUGCUUACAGUUCCCCCAUUUUAUGAUGACCACGAUCAGCCUACGUGGUUUGUGUCGUAAUAGAACUGCUCCACCCAUCGAGCUAAACAAGCUUAGUUGUACAAAUUCAAGUCUGAUAUUAUAUGCUGAUAUUAGUAAAACUGAGAGAUGUUUAAUUUGUCAGCUAAAUGUUCGUACUUUAAUUUUGGAAUGCAUGUGAGCCACAUAUGGAGAGAUCGGAAUGAAUAGUAUUUCUCUGUGCACUCUGGUUCAUCAUGGGUGGCCAACCAACAUUGUAGAGAAAGACUUGUAAUAUCUUCAAUUUGCCUGUUCUUCUGCUCUUGUUUAAGAUGAUCCUCUUCUCUUGCGGUUGACUGGUUAGGUCGAUUUGUUCUCCCUUAGUAUAUUUUGAAUCUGUCAGGUCAGGUCGACUUGUUCUUCAUUACUAUAAGUGGAAGCUAUCAUCUGCGAAGUGUCAUCACUUCUGGAGCUCUCAUAUUUUGAAUAGUAGGCCACAUUAUAUUAAUGCACACACCAAAUUACGACAUGCAUGUCAUCUCUUAGAAGAAUUGUAGAGAUAGCACAAAGGGGUUUACAGGGAGGCAGUAUUGGAUUAGAAUCACUUCUGCAUUACAAAGAUAAUCUCACUUGUUUUGAUGUUUUCAUGCAUGUUAGGUAUUGAACAUUAUCAAAAUGAAUAUGAGAAUGGGUGCACGAGAGGAAUAUUGCGGAACAAUCCACUGGCUAACAAACUUGGCAUGGUGGAGGAUGGACUAUCUUAUUUACCCAUCAAGGUGCUUGCUCUAACUUGGCAAGUUUGUAUUAGUCGCACAUAUUUUGCAUCUGACCUCUUACAUUACUUCUACUUUGUUACACCAUCUUCUUAGUUUAAGCAUCAUAUAGGAGUAUAUGCCAUACCUAUCCAUUUUCUGUACCUAUUCCAUGUGUCGUCAUACUAUGUUUUUCCAGUCAAAUGUUGUUCUUUCGUAAUAGAUGUCCAAAAGGAAGAGGGUGAGUGCAGAUCCUUAAGGAGUACAAACUAGGUAUUUGGAGAAGGUAGUGAUACCUCUUAAAUCAGAUAGAUCAGCAGCCAUAGAAAACACAGGCCCAACUGUACCACACUCUACCCCUACUCCAGUGGCCAAACCCCUAUUAGAACUAUUGAGAGCCCAGCGUCAGGUACUGUCUAUGAUAUCAAUUCAAAAUUUCAACUCCUAAAUUUCUGCAUGUGCCUUACCUUCUCUCUUGUAUGAAAACUAAUUUCAGAUGAAUCUCUUUGCUCAAAGGAUCAUACGAUCUCACAACAAUACUGGGCGCUGCAUUGCUCUUGUCAGUACCUCUUGCCCUUUUGCCUUGUAACAUUGUACUUAAUUAAUUGCUAUUUGAUUAUGUAUCAUCAGUCUGCACCUGAGCUUCAUUAUCCUCGGUUUCUUCCAAUAUUAUUUGAUCUAUAUUUACUCUUUGAAAAAUGUAGAAUAAUGGCAACGCUUAUAAAGAAUUUUCUUUGGGGAAUUUAUUGAAUUAUCCUUCCAUCAACAUGGAGAAGGGCUUUGUCCAGCCUGUGUUAACAUGUAAUGUAAGUUCAUUCUUCUCAAGCCUUCAAACUUUGUUCUAGUAUAGAUUUGGAUAGGCAUCAUUUCCUCCACUACUGUUUACUUUGCUGUUUACAUCUUAUUGGAUGUUUGCAACAACUACCAUUUUUAAAUUGUAGUUGUAAAACAUGUUCCUUAUGCAAAACAGAUCCAUUUAUUUUCUUAUAUAAUUGUGAAACAUGUUACAUGUCUCCUUGUUUCUCUUUCAGAGUCGUAACUCUUAUGCCAGGCAGAACAUUAGGGAAGAUAGUGAGCCAAACCAUCUUGAGGACAGCGAGAUGACCCCAAGAUCCUGUCUUGAUGAAGAAAGUGAGUUGAAGCUACUCACCGGCAGGUGUGAGACAACCUCUGUGCAGUCGCUGCCUCAAUUAGUUUGACUUCUUCAGUCCCAACUUAAAGCGGAAAGGCUUGCUUCAGCUCAGCUUUGACUUGAAGUCAAAGAUGUAAUGAAGAUGUUAGAGGACUGCCUUGCACACUAUGGUGCCAUACAGCUAGGGAUGAAGCAUCUAUCGUUGAUACAACUAAGGUCUCAUCAGCUUGUUCGGCUGCUUGUGGCGCCCGUCCAUGCCAGGCCUAGUGCCUUCUGAAGUGCUCUCAGUUUUGUAUAUUCUUUUGUGGACGCGUUUAUUUGCACUGGUGGCGAACUUUGAUGCCCAGUGGAUGUAAUAUGUGUAAUAGCCGUGAUAGCCUAGCGUAAGUUUCUUGCUUAUUUAUUUCCUUCUUGUCUUGUUUAUUUGCUUUCUUGUAGUGAGUGCAGUUCUUUUUCCGUAGUUUGCUAGUGGCCGCAGUAACCUAUUUUCUAAAACUAGGCCACAAUAACCAUGGGCUACAUAUUUACUGUAGUGACACUAGUCCUCCUACGGGCCGUAGAAACAAUGGGCCUUCUACACAACGUAGAAACAAUGGCCCUUCUACAAGGCAUAGAGACAAUGUGCCUUCUACGGGCCGUAGACACAAUGGGCCUUCUACGAGCCAUAUCAUCAAAGGGCCUUAUACAGGCCGUAUGAUCGAUUGGCCAAACAUGGUCCAAUAACAGACCACAUUAUGGUUGUAAAAAGGCUAGAGUUGUAAUCUUCCGUUCAUGGGCCGACCAUAAUGGGCCGUCGUUAAUCGGCCGUAUUUGAUGACACUAUGAAAACGACCCAAUGUAUUAACGGACCACAAACGGGCCGACUGUAACCAUGGGCUAAAUUUGGCCCACAAGCAGAAAAUGAUAGUAACGGGCCGUAAGUAACUGAAUGUUGGAAAUGAGCCCAAGAAUAAAUGGGCCCUGAGAAGGCCAAAAGAUAACAUGGGCUGAAAACGGCCCAAUGGAAUAAUGGGUUGUUAAUGGGUAUAAAGUGAUACAUUGUUCAUUAUAGGCCAGUUUCACCAUGGACCGUUAAUGUUCCAAGUGUUACAAAGGGCCUCAUAUGGGCCGAAAGACGUCAUGGGCCAUACAUGGGCUAGAAGUUAAAACGGGCUGAAUCAUAUUGGACAGCCCAGAUAACGCUACUGUGCCUAAUUCGAAUAGGUCGUAACGGGCCCUGGGUUAGCGGGCUGUAAAUGGGCUAUAUGCGAACAGGCCGCUAACAGGCUUUCCGUGGGCUGGCCCGCCACCUUUUGACCAAGUCAAACAGUCGGCCUUUUCACUGGAAUGGGCCUCUGUUGGGCCGUGCCACGUGUUGACAUAUCAUAGGCGCCUUCGGUCCAAUGAGUGGAUGAUAUCUGUCCCAACGGUGAGCCGACACGUGUUUCCUCCAGCCAAUGAUGAUUUUACACAUGGAAAAUCCCCAUUGGUCGGGGCUAUUAACGGGUUAUCGGAUCCAAAAUCGGACCUGAUAGCUUAACGGUAAGCCGUUAUGGUGGAUGCCACGUGUCGGUAACCCUUGACGAAAGCACUUCUAUGACGCGCGAUUUAUCGUCAUGGAAGUGGACACUUCCAUGAUGAUAAUUUUGGUAAUCUCAUGGAACACUUCUAUGAUAGCACAGGUAUGACUAUCUUGAUUCUGUCAUAAAAUCGUCAUGGAUGUACAUGCAUGACAUAAAAUGUGACCUACUGUGACAAACACGUAUCAUCACGAAAGUGUUUUUUUUGUAGUGAUAAGGUACCAAGUCUUCCCUAGUAAGUCUUUAAGGGGGAAGCUUAGGAGGUACGGUACCCUGCCAUCCUCAGCAAGAUAUCCGUAGAAAGCUUCGAGCACAAGCUAUCUCGUCUUCCGCAGCACGAUACCCCGAUGGAUUCCGAAGCAAGCUCCCUAGUCUUUUUUAGUAUGGCACUGGUACAAGAAAAUAAACAAUGGAUUGUUAGGAUAUGGCAGUGUUUUCCAAGUGUCAGAUCUGCAACAGUUAAGCCAGAAACAAGAAUGAGUCAGAACAAAGGUAUAUCUCUAGAAUCAGAUAUUUCUUCAUACAAUGAGUAUGCUGUCGAGUUCAUGCAAGUCUCUCCACAAGGAAGAAUUCACAGUACGCAUCCGACAACCUCACUGGAUAUGUAAGUGAAGGAAAACCAGUAGGUGAUGCAAGAAUCAACAAGUCUGGAAGAAAGACAACAUUGAGGCAGUAAUCUUUGUAGUAAUUCUCGAGAUUAGACUCGCGCAUCCGACAAAGUGAUGCUAUUAAUCCGGUCACUGUCUGGUAUAAUCAAUAGUAGUAUUGACAUCUGGUUAAGCACACGUGAGCCGGAUAAAUAUCCUGAGACUGGAGACAUGAACAAGACCAAGGUAUGGUUGCAAGGUAUUACACAUGACAGUAUGCAGGGCCGCGAAAACAAUCAAGGAUAUAUAAGGCCCCACUAUUUCAGUUAAGGAUCCAGGUAAAUACAAUAAUAAUGAAAGAGCAAGACCGAUAAUUCAGGUAUGCCGGUUAUUCUGUGAAAAAUAUGGAAUGUAUGCCCAAGACAGUCUGAUAUUUCAUAUCAAAUACCAAGUGAACAUAUGCCUGAGAGGUCUACUUCAUUGCGGUAAGGACCUCAUAUCAAGGCAACUAGCUUAGUCCAAGUAUGCUCAGAACUGUCAGCAUUGAACACCCGAGUCUGUCAAGUCUGGCUCAAUUUAGUGACCUCCGCAACUGUGCUGGAGCAUCGCGCAGACUGUUAUCCCCAUGGAUAUACUGGCAAAAUGAAUAAUCAGUGUGAGAACACAUACUUUGAGGAUCAUUAUCUCUCGCAUAUGGGAUGAAAUUAUAGAAUAGCCUGCCAUGAAUGGGAUUCUUUGCCUAGAUCACCGCCAGUCAAGUCUGCAAAUGUGAUCAUCAGGAGAUGAUGCACGUUUCUAUCAGUCACGUCAAGCGACAGUCAAACUUUUGGUACAGGUUGGAUAUUAAAGAUAGUAAAGCCAAUCAAGAUAAGUCAGAAACGUCUGCAAGAAGUCAAAAUCCAUCAGAAAGACAAGUAUGAUUCCUAUCACUAUUUUGAACCCAGAAGGUAUGCAUAUGUUCAAGCAGUCUGAUAUCUAGAUAUAAGAGAUUCCUAGUUCCACGGGAUGAUGUGUUUCCAACUCCAUGGAAUAUUCUCGGUACUCGAUAUCGGAAUAACAUCUCCAGCAAGGAUUAAUAUCGAGAAGGACACCUAUGUCAGUAAUGAUAAUCUUUCGGACCUCAGAUAAGCCAGCAGAUGUGGAGGAAAAAAAUUGAGUCAGUAUGAACCAGAACAUAUGAGGUAAGUCCUGUCAGAAUGUCAGAUAUGGUGAAGCAAACCACCCCAAAUCAAGACAGUCAGUCAGAUCCAAUUCAGUGGGAAUAUUCUAAGAGAAUGAAUAAAAGAAACCCGAGUUGGACGGUUUCUUCAAGUCAGAAAAAUUAUUUAUCCCUGAGCAACCAAAUCUCGAGGACGAGAUCUCCUUAAGGGGGGAAGGUUUGUAACACCCUGGAUUUUGCUCUUUUCUUUUUCCUUUGAUUUUCUUGAAUUUAUUGAUUUGAAUUGCUUUUCUCUGGCUAUGUGGUUCUGAAACUUGGGAAGGUCAUGUCUUCCUAGGUCCUAUAGUUGCUUGUCAUCUCCAAAACCAUCCCUAGAUCAUGUCAUUUCCAUCCUAUCCCAAAUCCGAAUACUCAUUUAUUGGGAAUAUUCCUUUUUCCAUUAAAGGAAUUAUCCUUUUUUCCCUAGGUUGUGAAGCGACCUAUAUUUCUGUCACUCCAAAAAUUCCCAAAUAAUUCUCAUAAAUUGUUUGGGUCCUAUCUUUGUCAAAUAUGGCAAAACUUUUCAUUGCUAUGUUCAAAAGUCAUCCUCCAAUAUAUUUUUUUCCUAUUCUACCCUAAAUGGCACUAUGCAAAGCAAGUGCUAUUUAUCUUUGCCCAAUUGACCCCAAACUUUUUGGACAUCUUUUCAUGUCCAUAUCAUUGCCCUGUGCCAAAAUUUAACUUCAUUUGCUUAGUAAAUAUUCCUGAGCAAUUUUUCAAAGUUCAUGUCUAAGGGAAGAAAUUGUGAAGGAAGUACUAGCUAGGCAUAUCCAAAUGACUUGAAAUUUUUCAAGGUCCUUCAUAUGAUCGAAUCAUUACACUCCACCAAAUUUGAGCUCAUGUAAUCUUUCUAUUUGAGCCCAGCUACAAAUCAGGGUUUCUAGUUAGAUUUUCAGUUUGUGAAGCAACCCUAUUUUAUAUUGCUUCAUUUAAACUGUAAAUUUUUCAGGACAUUUCCUAUCCAUAUCAACUCUCUCCACCAAUAUUUGGCCCAUUUCAUCUAGCCAUUUGCCCUGUGCAAUUUUUCCAAGUUUCUGUUCAAGAGAGAUGCUUUGUGAAGGAAGUGCUAUUUUGGUUCAUCCAAAUGGCAUGAAACUUUUUGAGCAUCUUGAUAUCCUCAAAUCAUUAGGCCAUGCCCAAUUUCAUCUCAACUUGCCUCUUCAUGUGAGUGCAACUUCAUCAUCUCCAUUUCUGGCCAUUUUGCCACUUUCUACAGCAACCACCCCCUAAGCUCCUCCUCUUAAGCUAAUUUUUCCUAAUCAAAGUCACCUUAGUGUGUGAUAAGCACCAAACAAAUAAGUUCCUUCGUUACCAAGUUUGUGUCCUCUCUGGACAGCACAAACACCUUGCUCCCAAAAUCUUUUGGCUCCUCCUGCAAAUCACUUCUUUGCCCUGAACCGACUUGUUGCUUCGUUUAGACUCGGGGCACUAAGGUAAAUGCACUGGACAUGGUCCGUUCUGCCAGAACGCGCCGCGUAUGCCAGCUCACGCGAUGACCACGGGGUGCAUCAGCCAAAACCCGUGCUCUAGCAUGUUGUCGCCCUGGUUCCCGUUGUUUCACUCCUCGUCUCGACGCCAAAGCUUGUCUAGUAGCUUGCCCGUGCUCGACUGCAUCGCUGCCCCGCCCUGAAAUGCUGCGGUGUGGUCGCCGUUGCCGUGCCCAUGAUGCUAGCUUCCCCUGUCCACCAUUGGAGCUUAGUUGGAGCUCGUCCGCGAGCUCGAGAAGCCUCCCCCUGCCUAUAUAAGAGACCCCCGAGUCCUCCCGCAGCUCCCAAGCCCCUCCCUCGCCUCAUUUGGUCACCGGAGCAGUGACAUCUCACCGUUCUUUGCCGUUUGCUUUCGGUGUUCGUUGGAGUCCGAGCUCUCCCGAGCACCACAAGCCUCCUCUCCUCCUCCCAAGUUGUCCACCGUGUUCCUCUCAUCACCGCGGUUCGCCCCCACCCACUUGCCCCUCGCCGGAGUCCAUCCUGGCCGCGUGCCCCAUGCACGGCCGCCGCCUCCGCCGUUAGACCUCUGCUCUGUCCGGCCGCCCUAGCCACUCCCUCGCCUUCCCGACUCCACCAUAGGCCUCCUUGUGCUCCUGCGGACCGCCCCAACCCAUCAGCCUCGCCGGAGUUGCCCUCAUCGCCGAUCACCACCUCCACCCCGUCCGCCUCUGUCCUCCUCCUACCCCCUCCCAUCUCCGCGCCACCUCCCAUCCCCAGCACCGGCCGAUCACGGGAACGGACGCUCCAGGCCCCGCCGCCCCCACCGGUGGCCUCGCCCUGGCCGGGGAUGGCUAAGCCGGCCGGCCCCCUCAUCGCCCUCCCUCCCCGGUCGCUGCUCUGUUCACGAGCGAACAUGAGCACGAGGAGGAAGAAGACGACCGCUUCGGGCCCCACUGUCCCCUGGGCCUGGCCUGUUAGUGUCCCACGCGCCCUCGUUGACGUGUCAAGUGGACACGUGUUCGGUGAGCGCGUGUUCAGUUGCCAGAAAGCGAAUUCUUCCUCCCUUUUAACAUUAUAUGUUUUCUCACCGGAAAGUGUAUUCCUUUCUACUGGAGCCUAAAGUACGCUUUCACUAUUCUGAAAACGUAUUUCCCGCAAUACGCCUUCUGUUUUUCCUCCCAGGGACCCGUUGGUGAUGAAAAUAUUCACAGAUUGGUCCUUCUACUUCAACCCCUCACAACUUUUCAACCGUAGAUCCGAUGGAGGUGAAACCACCACUCACGUCUUCGUCUCGUCAAGCUCUUUCUGUUAGUAACAUUUUCACUAGGUGAUCCCACAGUGAAAAUGACCAUUUUGGCUUUGCCUCUAAUCAGCCCCUUCGAGAAAGAACCGUCCGGGGUUUCGUUUUCACGGCUUCACCGCACUUUUUCCCGGAGUCUCCGUCACCCCCAGGCAAGCCACAACCACCAUUUGCAUGAUAGCCAUGCAGUAGCAUUGGUUUUCAACUUGAAUCUUUAAUAACUGUCUGUUUGUUUUGCUACUGCUGUCGUUAUUUUGGUUAUGCGUAUGGAUCGAUGGUUACCGUUAUGCUAUGUUUUCUUGCACUCGGUUAUCAUGAUCUACUUGCUAGUAUUACUUUCAUAUGUUCAUGCUUGCUAGUAGUUCAUGUUGGUGUUGGUUAUGUUCUUCGGUGCAUGACUAUCGUCUAUUACCGAGUACCGUUGAUAUGUAUAUUUCAUUGCAUCUCGCUGGUUUAUGCUCACCUGGUAAUAUUAUCGUUAUGUUCUUGCAUGGUAUUUCUUUAUGAUGCUAGUGGUCAUGCUAUGCUUAUGAUAGAGUUAUGUUGGUGUUAUUCAUGCUCGUCAGCAUGCCAAUCUCAGUCGGAUAUAUGCUUCAUUGUUGUUAUACUCAAUGAUUUAUCAUGGUUGCACACCCAUGCUCAUGUUGGUAUUAUGCUCAUGUAUUGUAGUUGCAUCAUGUUAUUUUUAAUAUGACUCAACUUAUUACAUUCAAGUUUAACCGGACUUAAUGGAACUUGAACAACUAUUGGCUGGGUCAUUGUGCCACUGAAUCGAGCUGACCAGUGCAACCACAUUUGCCUUUGUGGGAAGGUCCUAACUAGGUCUAUUGUCAUGCCUCUCGCUGGUGCCGCCAACGAGGGAAGGUUAUGCGCGGGCGCUACCUUGGCCGGGUAGGACGGCAUAAGCCUUGUGUGCCCAUGUUUGGUUUUGAGCUCAUGUCCCCGUUUGGGACCAUUUGUUUUCCCAUGACGGUGGCCGUUGAUACCUUUGGUAGGCAUGGGCCCACCCAUGACUUAGCCUAGAGGGGAGUUGGUAGGAGUGGCCAGGAGAGUGUCAUGGGAAAUAGAGCACUUUGGUCGGAACAUCGUUGGUCCACCCGAAUGGGAGUGUGAGGCCAUGGGUUCCGUGGUGUGGGUACAGUGUGCUAACCCCUGCAGAGUGUGUGUUUGUGAAAUCUAUCGAUAGCCGCGCCCGCGGAUAAGGGCCCAGUUCGAAGUCGGUCACACUAUGGGUCAACAGUAAUAAUAAUGAUGUGCUUAAUAACAACCCUAGUUCGAUGAUGAAAGAAGUUGGUUGAUCUUUAUGUGAUCGUGAGAGGAUCACCGUGGUAUCGAGGAUACCGAGUUGUUGGAUAUUUGUGGUGUUCUGCAAGAAUCACGGGUAAAGGUCAAGCUCGUUGUGGUCAUGUAAUGAUUACUACGGUAUUGUUAUACCAAGCUUGAUUUGAUCCUGAGAUGAUCGUGUGAUGUCCGUGGUGGUAAGUAAUGCAUGUUGUGGUUACGAGGUAACCCGAGCAGAGUAAGUUGGUGCAUGACGAUGUUAACCUGUUGCAUGUACUAUCAUCAUGUUCAUAUGAUCGUGUCAUGCUAAAAUUGUUUCUUUUUCAGUUAUGCAUGCCAUAUUGUUCUGCUAGUAUCAUGUUCAUGAUUGAUUUAACCUGCUAAUGCCAUGUUGUUGUUUGUCUUGACUGCUUUUGGCUAUUGUGAGCUUGCAAGUACAUUGAAUGUACUGACCUAGCAUGUCAUGCCAGUUUGCAGGUCAUGCCUGGAUUGCUUGCUUGUUUGGUGUGGUUCCUGUGUUCACAAGCUAGGAUAAACGUUCCGUCCAUAGUCCCUGCGGAUUGGAGUCCAUCAUUGUCGUUCGUUGUUUUGUUUCCAAUAGUUGUUCCGCUGCCAGUUGAGGUUCCGCUGCCUCGAGUUGUUAUGCUGCUUGCAUAGAGCAACUGUGGUUGGCGUAGUGUCGCCGUGCCGGUAUUAUUCCUUGUAAUAUCGGAUACCUUGUAUUCGUAUUCAGGUUGUAAUAGAAAGUUGGUUUGUUCUAUGCUAAGAAGUGUUGUCUUCUAGAAUACGGGGCUGGAAUACGGGGCGUUCCGUUUUCUCUGAGCCCGGGUGUCACAAUAAACUCAAAGUUCAUUGGAUCCAAACAAACACACC